AUAGGUGGCAAGCGUUGUCCGGAAUUAUUGGGCGUAAAGCGCGCGCAGGCGGUUCUUUAAGCCUGAUGUGAAAGCCCACGGCUCAACCGUGGAGGGUCAUUGGAAACUGGAGAACUUGAGUACAGAAGAGGAAAGCGGAAUUCCACGUGUAGCGGUGAAAUGCGUAGAGAUGUGGAGGAACACCAGUGGCGAAGGCGGCUUUCUGGUCUGUAACUGACGCUGAGGCGCGAAAGCGUGGGGGAGCAAACAGGAUUAGAUACCCUGGUAGUCCACGCCGUAAACGAUGAGUGCUAAGUGUUAGGGGGUUUCCGCCCCUUAGUGCUGCAGCUAACGCAUUAAGCACUCCGCCUGGGAGUACGGCCGCAAGGCUG
rnacentral:rRNA from 1 species